GUGGGGAAUAUUGCACAAUGGGCGAAAGCCUGAUGCAGCAACGCCGCGUGAGCGAUGAAGGCCUUCGGGUCGUAAAGCUCUGUCCUCAAGGAAGAUAAUGACGGUACUUGAGGAGGAAGCCCCGGCUAACUACGUGCCAGCAGCCGCGGUAAUACGUAGGGGGCUAGCGUUAUCCGGAAUUACUGGGCGUAAAGGGUGCGUAGGUGGUUUCUUAAGUCAGAGGUGAAAGGCUACGGCUCAACCGUAGUAAGCCUUUGAAACUGGGGAACUUGAGUGCAGGAGAGGAGAGUGGAAUUCCUAGUGUAGCGGUGAAAUGCGUAGAUAUUAGGAGGAACACCAGUUGCGAAGGCGGCUCUCUGGACUGUAACUGACACUGAGGCACGAAAGCGUGGGGAGCAAACAGG
rnacentral:rRNA from 1 species